rnacentral:rRNA from 1 species
UACGUAGGUGGCAAGCGUUGUCCGGAUUUACUGGGCGUAAAGCGCGCGUAGGCGGUUUGUCGCGUCUGCUGUGAAAUUUCGGGGCUCAACCCCGAACUUGCAGUGGGUACGGGCAGACUAGAGUGUGGUAGGGGAGACUGGAAUUCCUGGUGUAGCGGUGAAAUGCGCAGAUAUCAGGAGGAACACCGAUUGCGAAGGCAGCUCGCUGGGACGUAACUGACGCUGAGACGCGAAAGCGUGGGGAGCAAACAGG